UACGUAGGUGGCGAGCGUUGUCCGGAAUUACUGGGUGUAAAGGGCGCGUAGGCGGGACUGCAAGUCUGAUGUGAAAUACCACGGCUCAACCGUGGGGCUGCAUUGGAAACUGUGGUUCUUGAGUGACGGAGAGGUAAGCGGAAUUCCCAGUGUAGCGGUGGAAUGCGUAGAUAUUGGGAGGAACACCAGUGGCGAAGGCGGCUUACUGGACGUUAACUGACGCUGAGGCGCGAAAGCGUGGGGAGCAAACAGG
rnacentral:rRNA from 1 species